CCUACGGGUGGCAGCAGUGAGGAAUAUUGGUCAAUGGGCGCGAGCCUGAACCAGCCAAGUAGCGUGAAGGAUGACUGCCCUACGGGUUGUAAACUUCUUUUAUAAAGGAAUAAAGUGAGGCACGUGUGCCUUUUUGUAUGUACUUUAUGAAUAAGGAUCGGCUAACUCCGGGCCAGCAGCCGCGGUAAUACGGAGGAUCCGAGCGUUAUCCGGAUUUAUUGGGUUUAAAGGGAGCGUAGAUGGGUUGUUAAGUCCGUUGUGAAAGUUUGCGGCUCAACCGUAAAAUUGCAAUUGAUACUGGCAGACUUGAGUGCAGUUGAGGUGGGCGGAAUUCGAGGUGUAGCGGUGAAAUGCUUAGAUAUAACGAAGAACUCCGAUUGCGAAGGCAGCUUACUAGACUGCAACUGACAUUGAUGCUCGAAAGUGUGGGUAUCAAACAGGAUUAGAUACCCGGGUAGUC
rnacentral:rRNA from 1 species